CGUCCCGGAGCGGGCCGAGGUCCAGGCGCUGGGAGCUUUAGCAGUAAGAGGUGGUGGUGGUUUUUCUAGCUUGAAAGCUGACUCUGAAGAGAAUCAUGGAUUUUACGUCUGUCGUCUCGCGUACAGUUUCUGUUCUCUGCAGACUUCCGAGUAUCAUUUAAUUUCCCCUCAGCAGCCAUGGCUGGUCGUUUUUGGUGGACUUGGGGUGCAGAAAGUCACAACGUUCUCUCCGUUUCCCCCAGCGCAUUUGUUCUGGUGACUUCUGGAUAAAACGAGGAAAGGUGACCUUGGGUUUCUUCUGGAUGCACCCUACACUGGUCAACCCUAAGAUGGAGGCCUGAUCUUAUUCAGCAUACAGUUGCAGCAUGUGGGAUCUAGUUCCCUGACCAGGGAGCCUGGAGUCUUAGCUGCUGGGAGGUCCCUGCUCUCUGUAACCUUGACUGACAUUACUUGGCACCUUCCAACCUGGUGAAUCAACUUGGAAAGUUCACAAAAUGCAUGGAUAUUCGGAAUGCUCCCUACAGCUUAGGCUCUUCCCUGAUUAUCAAAGCACAUCCUGUGACCUCAGGUUAAGAAUCAUUAAUAAAAUAUUAUAAUUGUAUUUGUUAAUUGUCCAUCAAUAAAUUUGGGGAAAAUAAUUUUGAUGACAUGGGUAAAUGCUCACAGGAUAAUACUAAAUGAAAUAUGAAACCAUAUUAGGUAUGAUCCUGGUUUUGUAUAUAUGUGGUUUUAUGUGUGUGUAAAGUCUUAAACAAAAUUUACCAAAUACACCAAACUGUUCACAGUGGAAAAGAAAAAAGAAGAAUCAUUAAUAAAGGAUGAGGCUAUAAGCACAAUGUUAAUUUUCUUAGUUCAUGUGCCAUUUGGGGUUAAUCCGAGAGGUGAAAGAGAUGAAAAUACAUAUUAAGACACUGAUUACACUGAAUUGGCUUCUGUGAUUGGGAGGGCUAGCUAAGAAAGUGUUAUCAACUCCAAUGAGGUGUCCCUCUAAAAGUCAUAUGUUGAAACCCCCAAGAUGAUGAUAGUUUUGGGGGGUG